AAUUUGUAACCUUGUGAUACAGCCUCUUGCAAGGACAAUUGCUUGUGGCGAAACAUGGUUACAUAAAGCAAAACAAAGAAGCUAAGGCGGGACUUCUGGAGGUUGAGGAGUUCUACGUGCGAUGUUCCUUGGACAGAUUGUCUUCAGAGAGCCCUGCUUUCCACGGCGGUGACGGACCAUCAUGUACCCUCACCUUUCUUGAAGCAGAAGAAAAAGCCUUGUGUGGUAACCAGCUAUUGUUUGGAAGGGGAAGGUUUUCCUGUCGAACACUUGAUUUGUCACAUUC